UACGUAGGGGCCGAGCGUUGUCCGGAGUUAUUGGGCGGAAAGCGCGCGCAGGCGGCCUCGCGCGCCCGACGUGAAAGCCCCCGGCUUAACCGGGGAGGGUCGUUGGGGACGGCGGGGCUUGAGGGCGGGAGAGGUCGGUGGAAUUCUCGGUGUAGUGGUGAAAUGCAUAGAGAUCGGGAGGAACACCUGUGGCGAAGGCGGCCGACUGGGCCGACCCUGACGCUGAGGCGCGAAGGCGUGGGGAGCGAACGGG
rnacentral:rRNA from 1 species